AAACUACAGAAUCAUUAAGAUUGCAAAGAAAAUAAAUGACAAUCAUUAUGAAUGCUAACCUAUAUUGUUAAUUUUCCAACACACUCUUCUGUUUUUCUUCUGACAUUGAUUCUGUCUUUUUUUUCUCUCCACAAAAUGUACUUGAGAUAUUUCAUUUCACAAGUGAAAGAGGUUUAAUCUAUGGACCUGACAAAAAGAAGAUUGUAUGCAAAAAUGGUAUUGAUGAAUGUACUUAAAAAAAAUUUGUAUUACCAUAUUCUCAAUUUAAUAAAACCUAGGUUUCAUGAAUAUAUGUUUUAAUUAUAACAUUAGAAAAAACCCUCACAUUUGGAGAAUAAAUACAGUGCAAGCAAGAGGCAGGAUCAUUGAAGAACAGUUUCUGUAUUUUUUUUCUCUUUCAUUUCCAGACUUCUGGCUUAAGCCUAAAUGUUUUAUAUCAGGAAAUUAAUGUUAAUUUAGUGUAUUUACUAGUAAUUCAACCUGACUCUAAAGGUGAAUUGUCUGUAUGUUUUAUACUUACCACCAAAUUUCUGAAUGCACAGACAUUCAGCAUUAGAACCUGUUUCUUUAACACUUGGUACUGAAGUCCUAAUACAGUAAAUUAAAAAAAAAAAAUAAACUACACAACUCUUUUUUUUUUUUUUUUAUUACAUCUUCAAAUGACUACAGAUGAAUGGAAACUGGAUUUCCUUUAUUACAAAAUAUCACAAAACAAUUACUUCUAGAAAUGAAUCAUUAUCUGUACAAUGAUACAGGCACAUGAUAAAUUGAACUAUUUAAUUAACUAACAUAUUAAGUAUACACUAUUACUUAUGUCAACAUUAAUGAUGAAGUGUGAGUCUGUUCUCAGCAUUUCAAUAAAAUAUAUAAGAGGAUACAUUAUUUUAUAAGAUUUUUAAUGCAAAUUGAUCACUUUCGGUGUCGACAUCUCCAAUCAAUUAACAUAUGAAACAACCUUAAGCAUAACAAUGCUUUGACUCAGCCAACAAACAGAUGAAGAAUAAAAAAACAAACAAGAAAAAGCAAUAACAACAAUUACUAUUCUCAACCUUCUAUGAAUUCCUGCUCAAAAAUUUCAGUAAAAUUUACUGUUUUAUCAAGGCUCGCUGGAACUUAGUUUCAAAGUGUCACCAGAAAGCCAAGUCAUCAAUUUUUCUGUGUCAUUCAGAGACAACAUGGAAGCUAAAAGCUGCACUCAGCUGUUUUGCUUUUUGGGAGAACAUGGUGGGGUUAAGUAAUCACCGUUUACUACACUGUUUUUGUUGCUCACUUUGUUCUGUGGCAUUUAGGAUUGCUGUUUGCAUCAAGUUCUAAAAAAUAUUAUAUUUCAUUAUAUUAGCAGAAAUGUUUAUAACUAUGUCUGGGACAGCAGAUAUCAAUCGACAGACAUGUGCAUACCUAUACACAUGCAAGAAAAGAAAUUGCUUUCAACUAGCAUCACCAGAAAAGAGCGAAGUUCACACCAUGUGAGUGAAUUAGAGACUGCCAUGGCGUGCCAAGGUAGAAGGACCCAUCUCAGAGACCCAACCUACACUCCAUGUCCUCAAGGAAUGUCUUCCCCAAAAUGUGAACAGGAGGAGGAAUCCACAGAGGCAAGGGACAGAGACAUAUUUUUGGGGCAACUGUGGCUUCCAAACCAGUGUUUUAUUGAGGAUGCUGAGCUCGUAUGUUGCUGCAGACCACCUGCAAGGACCUGGGAGUGUUCCAGAUGGAGAAAUACUUCUGAACAUGUUACUGAGCCGGAAGUAGAAGAGCACUAUUCUGAGCUGGCAGUUAGAGGAGCAGUCGUGUAGCGGCACUUGCUUGUUCAGGGGAAAGCUCAGCUCUUGAAACAUGCUUGUAGUGCACCUCGAAAUUUAAAAGAAACUAGCACAGAAGGGUGUAUCUGGUGGAAAUGGAGCUGCAGCUUCAGAUGCUUACUUUGGAGGGCUGGGAAGAUUCUUAGAAGCAGCUUCUCCAAAGCUCGGACUGUAUCUUAGAUCAAAUAUGUAAUGAAUGGAACAGAAGAGUGGAUCAUAAAAUGGGCAUGUUUAGACUAUCAGCUGAGUCUGCAACUGAAAAAAGAACCACCUGAAAAGUGCCCAGUUUUGAGGCAGGACUAUGCUGACAGACCUGAUCCAGGACCUGUUCCAUCUCAUAUACUUUCACAGUUGUUGAGGUCUCAACUCUGCCAACCUCUUUGUCAGACUGCUUUUCGUCUAAAAUUCAAUAAAAAUGAAGGAUCAAGCAACAAGUCAAACAAGAAGUCUGUAAAGUCAAAGCUUUCACAGUAGAAGCAGAGGGAUAGGGACUAUCAGACUUGUCUUUGGUAUUUUACACCUUGUGGUUUUAACAUUUUUUUCAAUAGCAAGCUUCCAGAGUUACUACCAUGAAGAUCUCUAUUUCAGUUAAACAUUGAUAAGGGUACAGCUUAGAUCUGCAGUGGAGUCACAUGCCAGCGAGUUGCAUCAUGCAACAGCUUUAGAUCUGCUAAAACCACUCCUGCUCUGACCCAAUUGAACUCUCUUUUUGUAGAGCUUGCUGCACAAAACGUAGUUUCUUUGAAAUAUUUUUUUAAAAACUGCAGAGGUGGUACUUUUUUUUUCUGUUUUCAGCCCCCCUCACAAGUUACCUUUCUUUCAGUGUAAUCCACUGCAGUUUAUUGAGCCUUACCCCUUUUUCUGCUUUCAGCGUAAGGUCUGGAAGGGGAAAGAGAGGACUGAAAAAAAAGAGAAAGAACAACCAAAAGUACAGGAACCUUGAAGAAACGAAGUUUCGAAAUGUCUCAAAAGAGGUUGGAUCAGUUUUGAUAGUAAAUAUAAUGUUCUAAAUUCACAUAAGAAUCCAAACUUAUGAGACACUGUGUCAUUUGCUUCCUGACUGAGGGCCAGAAAGUGCUCAUCUUCUCAGAAUUUUUUAAAAAGCUAUUAAAAGCUUAAAAGCAGAUAAGACUGUUGCACUUUAUAUUUGCAUUUACAUAGACAUUUUACUUGUAUUAUAUAGACAUUCUAAAUGCCCUUAAUUAUCUAAAAUGAAGAGGUUUAGAAACUGCAUGUGAUAGGUAGGUACAUCUCAAACUCUUUGUAAUGUUUUUGGUUUUAUAUAAAGUUAUCCAUCUACAAAGGCAGAUAUGAAAUGAUUAUAUAGUGAUCUAUAGUAAAAUGUCAACAAUUCUUCCAUGGGUCUAAUUAACUCUUCUUUUGUCUUUUUAGUAUUCCCUAUGCAAAUGAGUGUAAUACCACAGGAAUGCAACAAUUGUUAUUAGCAAGUAAUUAAAGGGUGCCUUGGUGACUAAUGUUCUAUCUUCAGGAUACUGCAGAAUAUCCUAAAUUCUGCAUCCACAAAAUGGUGUACAGUUUCUUGUGAAAUUACAAAGUGAGCUAAUAAUUCAUAUUUUAUAAUAUUUACUGAGUAAAAAGGGGUCAUGCUACACUUUUUCCAUUCACAAGCUUCAGCCCCAGACUUUUCAACCCUUUAUUUAUGAAAAAUGAAAUAUUAUGCUAACCAUGACCUUUUAACAACAGCCUAUUCACAGUGGCCAAAGGUUUUUAUUGCUGACCUAUUACUCUAUUAUAAAACAAUAAUUUACAUGGGUCUCCUUUUUUUUUUUAAGCAAAACAAAAUCACAAAGAUUAAAAGAGUAAGGAUUAAAAUUCCCUGAAACAUUCACCAAACACAGAAUUUAUUCUUGUUUCCUCUGCCAGAACACGUCAAGCAAAUACUACAAUUUAUAGCUUCCCCCCAUCUAAAUCAUGAAUCUAAACAGAAAAAAAAAAUCAGUUCUGUACAUACCUCUCUUCUAGUAAUUUUAAGUUUUCCCAUGUCCAUUAGGCCCUUACAACCUAAUCUUGCUCUGCCAAUUGCUCCCAUGGUGAGAUCAUUAAGUAAAUUAUUUAAAGAUCAAACAGCCUGCAGUGACAAUGGAGUUCCAUGUAAGGUAAAUGCUUCAAAGCCCCCCUCCCCCCUUCUCAAAUUAUAGCUCUACAGGCUAUUCAUCACCUCUGGAUGGGGCAUGCCCCACCAUUACUUGGCUUUUUGCUGCAGGCUAAGGUAGCACCACUAAUUGGCCUUUGUAACAAAACUGACCUGUGGACAGGAUAAAACUUGUUUGGAGCUUUAGAGACAACAAUUAUUCAAGGUUAAAAACACAUCAAUGCCACAGCUACGUCACUAUAAUAAGGGUGAAUGAAUUUCUUCCUCUUGGGUCUUAAUGUGAAAGAAUGCGUUCAUGUUGUGUCCAUGCCAAACAAAAGCUCCUUCAGGUAGUUGAACUAGUCUACUUUUCUUUCUUUCCCCCACCCCUUCUUUUUUAGCUCAAGGACAAGUAGGUCUAUCAUUUUCUUUAUUUCUUCAGAGCCCCUCACAGUGAGGGCCCUUUGAUCUCCAAGAAUAAUGGUAGAUGGAACAAUUUAACCGCUUCAUACAGGUGCAGGAGUUUAUUUGACAGGUUGCGGCUUUUAUUUCUAGCACAUUAGCUGCAUGCAUACAAAUGGGCUCUUGACAGAUUCAAGCAGGUAGAUCAGAUUUUUUAUUUUUUUUUUAAAGAAGCCUCAACAAAAACCUGGCCAGACCUGCAAUGAUGAUACGAUUUAAAAUGCUGCAUAAAUUAAAGACAGGUAAGGCCACUGUGUUCCCUGCUGUGAAUGAAGCCUGGCCACACCUGCAAUGAUGGUAUGAUUUAAAAUGCUGCAUAAAUUAAAGGCAGGUAAGGCCCCUGUGUUUCCUGCUGUGAAUGAAUUUUACAAUUUGGGAAGACAGCAUGUAGGAAGAAAAGCAGCUCAAUCAGAUAAACAAAACAGGAUCCAGUCACUCGCCUCUUAAAUUUAAAGAGCCUUUACUUGAUAUGAAUUAAGAACAGAUUACUCUGCUAGGCAAGAACAUAUGUUAGAUUGUGUAUAACAGAGAACUGAAUGUAGGAUAGAAGCAAAGUGAAGGUAAACGUUUUCAAUUCACAUUUAUUCAGACUCGCGCUUUUCCCAAAGGAAGAUUAUCUGUAGUCACUUAUGAUUAUUAGUAGUGAAAAUCUGCCAGUAGAAGCUUUGUAAAUUGAAGGAUUUUCCCCUUUUUUUUUUUGGUUUACACUUAGUUUAAGUGUCAUUGAAAUAGCUUGUGUAAGGAGAUGCUAUUCAAUAGCCUACCAGCUAAUAACAAGUCCGCUAAAUAUUGCUUCUACAGACUGUUACCACUUAACGGAAGCCACACAUGCAUUUUAUGUUUAUUUGCCUCCCCUCUCCUCUUUUGAGCUUGACAUUGUUUUUUUCAGUGCAUUGCAGUUCUUCAAAGAAUACCCUGACCUUCAAAUCAUGUAUUCAAUAAAAAUAAGACCUGGGGAUGCACAGAUCUCCUGCCAGCAUAAAUAAUUUGUUUGGAAGUGUCAUAUCAAAACUGGUAGUAUAGACACAGUUAUGCUUGCAUCACGAUAUUUUGUACUGGUUUAGCUUGUUUGAUUUAUGGGAAUAUUUAUUCAAGACUAAAUGUCUUUAUGACAAUAUAAGUGCUUUGGUACUGCAGGACUAUAUAAACUUAAGUGUGCCACUGUAUUUGAAAUUAUAAACCUGGAGGUCACAUUUACAUUACUCUCCAUCUCCACUGACACAGCUCUGACAGAGUGGGAUGUGAAGAGGUAAGACAGUUAGGUAGCACCAAGACAAACCCUACGUAGCAGAGUACCAGUGAUGAUUAAUCCUUUUCCAUCUGAACUACUGCAUCCUUAGCAAGUGUGUUGUUGCAGUGUGCUGGCAAUGUACUGCCUCACAGCUAACAUGUUCCUGGGAGGCACGUUGCAUGUUCAUCACAUGUGUGGUAACUAUAGUAGUUGUUAAACAGAUUUGGUGAAAAUUACACUCCAGUUUUCCAGGCAAAAUAAUGUUCUCAUAGAGGUAAGAGAAGCACAAGACUGCACUGAGGAAUAAUUGCUGAGGACAACUACUAGUCAGUUUAACUGUUUCAAAUUUGUGCAUAGUGAGUCACAUUCAAAUUUCAUUUAAACAUGGGGUAUUUUUUCAGGUGAGCUGGUGUUUCGUUCCACAUAAAUAACUCAUUCCAGAAAUGAGCUUGAGCCAUGCUAAAAGCUUAAAUCUUUUAGUGGAAAAGUUGUGAAGAGAAGGUGCCAUUCCUAGAGUGAACUGUUCACUGAUAGAGUACAGAGUACUGAAAUUCUGAACUGGGUGUAAAUCACAGUAUUUUGACUGGCACAGUAGAAGGCCUUUGCAUGAUAAAGAAGGCCCUGGGAAGAUUUCUGCUAUUGGCACAUCCCUAUAAUAUUUGUGGGAUCAGCUGAUGGGAAAAGCAGUUUAACCAUGUUGUUUCAUGCUCCUUCUGCCUAUCGUGGUUCCUGUGCUUACCCCAUUGCUGUCAUGCUGCUGGGUAAGAAACUGUCUAGUGUAUGUCAGUGUAACUGCCUGAAAAUUCUGCCUCCAGACAGUUUUCUAAGAUGCUCUGCCACUGAUAAACUGGAUUGCAAGCAGUUGCUGUAGAGCAGGCUAACACAGCUCCUGCUGUGGCCAUUUCACCAUGAAACUACCACCAGCAGAAGCGAUGUGUCCUACCCUGAAGCGCAGCAGAUGGCUGGAGAACUCACAGUGUCCAUGUCCCUGAGAGAUUUGCUGCCAAAAGCCCAAACACAAAGGCAGGCAGCUCCCUCAGGCCACUCCAUAGGCUCUGCCAUGGUCAGCUGUCACCUAGAGGGACCCACUGAGAGAUCAAUAUCUGAAACCAAAUUCGAUUCAGUAUUAAAUUCUUUCUUCUCCACUCUGCAACAGCUGUUCUGGGAUGCUGACAAACAGGCGCUCCUUGUUCUAGAACAGACAGCCUCCUUCUUGGUUUUGUUUGUUUGUUUGUUUGUUGUUUUUUUUUUUUUUCCUGUUAAUUAAAAAGCAAAUUGUCAUUUAGAAAAAGCCAAACAUCAGGAUGUGGGAAAGACUGGCUCAGAGACACAGCAAUGAGUCCUGUUGGCAGUCUUCUGCUCUAGCUCCCACAGCUGGAGCCCAAGAAAUAAAUGUGAGGUGUCCCAGCUGCCAGAAUAGUUUCAAUAAAAAAGGAGACGUGAAAUACAUUAAUGAUCUGAUAUUUCAGAAUAUCUAAUGAAAAAAAAAAAAAUUGAAGACUUAUCCUGCUCUGCCUGUUUUGCCUUUUCUAUUUUAACGUUGGAAAUAAAAUAUGCUGCUGCAGAUUGUAUUUCUGUUAAAGCUAUUACAGGUUUAUGACAGUGCUAAAAUGGUGCAACAAACAUGGAAAUUAGUAUUACAGUC